rnacentral:rRNA from 1 species
UGUAGUCAUAUGCUUGUCUCAAAGAUUAAGCCAUGCAUGUCUAAGUAUAAGCAAUUUGUACGGUGAAACUGCGAAUGGCUCAUUAAAUCAGUUAUCGUUUAUUUGAUAGUACCUUACUACUUGGAUACCCGUGGUAAUUCUAGAGCUAAUACAUGCUGAAAACCUCGACUUCGGAAGGGGUGUAUUUAUUAGAUAAAAAACCAAUGCCCUUCGGGGCUCCUUGGUGAUUCAUAAUAACUUAACGAAUCGCAUGGCCUUGCGCCGGCGAUGGUUCAUUCAAAUUUCUGCCCUAUCAACUUUCGAUGGUAGGAUAGUGGCCUACCAUGGUGGCAACGGGUAACGGGGAAU